rnacentral:snRNA from 1 species
GCAUUAGUCGGAGGUUUA